CUUUAAUACCAUUGGGGAUCCAGUAUCUCCCACCAAGACGGAAGGUCCAGAUACGAUCAUUCAGUUUUUGGGGAUACAACUGGACUCCAUAACUAUGGAAGCCAGCCUCCCUAGAGAUAAGAUUGUCAACAUCACUCAGACCAUUCAGCAGUACUUGCGCAUAGGCUCAUGCAAUAGGAAAGAGCUUCAGUCACUGAUUGGCUCGCUAAAUUUUGCCAUCCGUAUUAUACCCCAAGGAAGAGCAUUCAUUUCCAGACUCCUGUGCCUUCUUCCGACACUAACUGACGAACACAAACGUACCACUCUUGAUUUGCAAGCCACAGCAGACUUGCACAUGUGGAAC